UACGUAGGGUGCAAGCGUUGUCCGGAAUUAUUGGGCGUAAAGAGCUCGUAGGCGGUUUGUCGCGUCGGCUGUGAAAGCCCGGAGCUCAACUCCGGGUCUGCAGUCGAUACGGGGCAGACUUGAGUGUUGCAGGGGAGACUGGAAUUCCUGGUGGUAGCGGUGAAAUGCGCAGAUAUCAAGGAGGAACACCGGGUGGCGAAGGCGGGUCGCUGGGGCAACAACGUGACGCUGAGGAGCGAAAGCGUGGGGGAGCGAACAGG
rnacentral:rRNA from 1 species